UACGAAGGGUGCAAGCGUUACUCGGAAUUACUGGGCGUAAAGCGUGCGUAGGUGGUUCGUUAAGUCUGAUGUGAAAGCCCUGGGCUCAACCUGGGAAUGGCAUUGGAAACUGGCGACCUAGAGUGCGGUAGAGGGUAGUGGAAUUCCCGGUGUAGCAGUGGAAAUGCGUAGAGAUCGGGAGGAACAUCCGUGGCGAAGGCGACUACCUGGACCAGCACUGACACUGAGGCACGAAAGCGUGGGGAGCAAACAGGG
rnacentral:rRNA from 1 species